rnacentral:rRNA from 1 species
CUGGCUCAGGAUGAACGCUAGUUACAGGCUUAACACAUGCAAGUCGAGGGGCAGCAUAACGAGAGCUUGCUUUGUUGAUGGCGACCGGCGCACGGGUGAGUAACGCGUAUCCAACCUUCCCUGUAGUAGAGAAUAGCCCGGCGAAAGUCGGAUUAAUGCUCUAUGUUGUAUUUCGAUGACAUCUGAAGAAUACCAAAGGUUUACCGCUAUAGGAUGGGGAUGCGUCUGAUUAGGUUGUUGGCGGGGUAACGGCCCACCAAGCCUACGAUCAGUAGGGGUUCUGAGAGGAAGGUCCCCCACAUUGGAACUGAGACACGGUCCAAACUCCUACGGGAGGCAGCAGUGAGGAAUAUUGGUCAAUGGACGGAAGUCUGAACCAGCCAAGUAGCCGUGCAGGAUGACGGCCCUAUGGGUUGUAAACUGCUUUUAUAUAGGGAUAAAGUCGGGGACGUGUCCCCGUUUGUAGGUACUAUAUGAAUAAGGACCGGCUAAUUCCGUGCCAGCCGCAGC